GAUGAACGCUGGCGGCGUGCCUAAUACAUGCAAGUCGAGCGAACAGACGAGGAGCUUGCUCCUCUGACGUUAGCGGCGGACGGGUGAGUAACACGUGGAUAACCUACCUAUAAGACUGGGAUAACUUCGGGAAACCGGAGCUAAUACCGGAUAAUAUAUUGAACCGCAUGGUUCAAUAGUGAAAGACGGUUUUGCUGUCACUUAUAGAUGGAUCCGCGCCGCAUUAGCUAGUUGGUAAGGUAACGGCUUACCAAGGCAACGAUGCGUAGCCGACCUGAGAGGGUGAUCGGCCACACUGGAACUGAGACACGGUCCAGACUCCUACGGGAGGCAGCAGUAGGGAAUCUUCCGCAAUGGGCGAAAGCCUGACGGAGCAACGCCGCGUGAGUGAUGAAGGUCUUCGGAUCGUAAAACUCUGUUAUUAGGGAAGAACAAAUGUGCAAGUAACUAUGCACGUCUUGACGGUACCUAAUCAGAAAGCCACGGCUAACUACGU
rnacentral:rRNA from 1 species